GUUUAAUAUAUACAUGGUUGUUUUACUCAUCUGAGCAUUUCAGCGGUGGAUAUCCAGCUAUAUGGGAAAGAAGGAUUAGUCAAAGAAGAAGAAAGAACGACUGUGAGCAUGCACGUGGCACAUAUGUAAGAAUUUACCUGUUGGAGCCAGGCUUUGUGUCAAAAAGGUGACAGUGCCUGAGGAGGUACAGUAAGGGAAACAGAAGGCUCCCUUCCUCAUCUCUAAUGUGUUUGGCUGCAGACGCUGCUAGG